rnacentral:rRNA from 1 species
UACGAAGGGGGCUAGCGUUGUUCGGAAUAACUGGGCGUAAAGCGCACGUAGGCGGAAUGUUAAGUGAGGGGUGAAAUCCCGGGGCUCAACCCCGGAACUGCCUUUCAUACUGCAAUCUAGAGAUCGAGAGAGGUGAGUGGAAUUCCGAGUGUAGAGGUGAAAUUCGUAGAUAUUCGGAGGAACACCAGUGGCGAAGGCGGCUCACUGGCUCGAACCUGACGCUGAGGUGCGAAAGUGUGGGGAGCAAACAGGAUUAGAUACCCCGUAGUCC